UCUCUCAUGGUCCAACGGUUCAAGACACGCGCCUGUCAAAGCGGUUAUUAGACUGCAAAUUGCUCGCGCGUAACCCGGGUUCGACUCCCGGUGAGGGAG
rnacentral:tRNA from 1 species